ACGUAGGGUGCGAGCGUUAAUCGGAAUUACUGGGCGUAAAGCGUGCGCAGGCGGUUUUGUAAGCCAGAUGUGAAAUCCCCGGGCUCAACCUGGGAAUGGCAUUUGGGACUGCAAGGCUGGAGUUUGGCAGAGGAGACUGGAAUUCCCGGUGUAGCAGUGAAAUGCGUAGAUAUCGGGAGGAAUACCGAUGGCGAAGGCGGCAUCCUGGACCGGCAUUGACGCUGAGGCGCGAAAGCCAGGGGAGCGAACGGGA
rnacentral:rRNA from 1 species